ACCAUCAGGCUGAUGGUUAAAGCAGGUUAACCAUCAGGCUGAUGGUUAAAGCAGGUUAACUAUCAGCCUGAUGGUUAAAGCAGGUUAACCAUCAGCCUGAUGGUUAAGGCAGGUUAACCAUCAGCCCGAUGGUUAAAGCAGGUUAACUAUCAGCCCGAUGGUUAAAGCAGGUUAUCCAUCAGCCUGAUGGUUAAAGCAGGUGAACUCAGAGGUUGUUAAUAGUUAGCUGACAGCUGUGCGGCCCCAGGCCUGGUGAGCUUCACGAGGCAGUGAAUCAAUCUCCUCUGCUGCAGGAAUGUGGGCCUCGCUCCAAUGGAAGCUGUUGAUCUAAACUGCUGAAGAGAUAUUUACUAUGUUUGUCAGAGGACUAAUUUAUCUCGGUUAAGAUCUUGGCAUGUCUUGUGAGAAGCACUUAUUUAAGUAAAUUAUCAUCCAAGAUUUGGUCGACGAUUUCACAUAGUAUAUUUUAUGGAUUAGUCAAUGAAUGAUUGGAUUUAUCUAUAACUAAUCUUAUUAACGGAGCACUAAUCUGAGUUUGUGAAUUUUGACCAGAUAGUGAAACUAUCUGACAUCAUUAUUGACAUAACAUUGAAUAAAUAAGAAGGCCUUCCAGAGUCCUUCACAUCUAUGGUGAUAUAGUUUGAUUAACCCAACAUGUUAAUGAGCUAAUAUCUAUUAGUCAGCUGGGGUCAGGUCUCUUCUCCGUUGGCCCCCUGUGUUGAUCCCUCCGCCUGUAGAGAGUGAUGAUGGCCCAGCUCUGGUGUCUGAGGACCUCCUGGUAGGACUAGUGCCGGAGACACAGUGGUCCCCUGUAGCGUUCUGUUGUGUUUGGCAGCCAACCACUCAAGAGGGUAUCAUCAUUUAAAGUCAAACGUGAUUAUUUUCUGCAUUUUGGGACUUUUGAGGGAAAAAGCCAUUUCAAAACAACUAACUAUUGUACCUCACCAAAUCUAUUUACAUGAAAUUGAACCAUAAUGGAUAUUCUAUAAACGGAUUGUAUGAUGGUAAUAUCAUUUGUUAGUACGGGUUGGAUAGCGGUUGUGGGUAUAAGGGUACCAUUGAUUCUGUUCCAGCGUCAGGUCGCCUGUGCUCUGCUAGUGCCCGUUGGUUCUGCAGGUUAGUCCUGAAACUGGUUGUGUGGAGCGUGCAUGAGGCUGCCUCACUCUGAGGUCACGUGCACACUGCCUCUCGGAGCCUCGCCCUGACCAGGGGCACACGGCCUCAUGGGGGUCAGGGGGUAGGACCAGUGACCCAGACCAGUGGACCCAGACCAGUGACUCAGACCAGUGGACCCAGACCAGUGGACCCAGACCAGUGGACCCAGACCAGUGGACCCAGACCAGUGGACCCAGACCAGUGAAUCAGACCAGUGGACCCAGACCAGUGAAUCAGACCAGUGACCCAGACCAGUGGACCCAGACCAGUGACUCAGACCAGUGGACCCAGACCAGUGGACCCAGAACAUGGACCCAGACCAGUGGACCCAGACCAGUGGACCCAGACCAGUGGACCCAGAACAGUGGACCCAGACCAGUGGACCCAGACCAGUGAAUCAGACCAGUGAAUCAGACCAGUGGACCCAGACCAGUGGACCCAGACCAGUGGACCCAGACCAGUGGACCCAGACCAGUGGACCCAGACCAGUGACCCAGACCAGUGGACCUAGAACAGUGAAUCAGACCAGUGACCCAGACUAGUGGACCCAGAACAGUGAAUCAGACCAGUGGACCCAGACCAGUGGACCCAGACCAGUGAAUCAGACCAGUGGACUCAGACCAGUGGACUCAGACCAGUGGACCCAGACCAGUGGACCCAGACCAGUGGACCCAGACCAGUGGACCCAGACCAGUGGACCCAGACCAGUGGAUUCAGACCCCAGGGGUUCAGACCAAGCAGGUCCACCAGCCCCUCUCUCUCCUCUCCUGUCUAGAACACGCUCCUGUCUGUCUGUAACCCGUCUGUCUGUCUAUCCUGUCUAGAACACGCUCCUGUCUGUCUGUAACCCGUCUGUCUGGCUAUCCUGUCUAGAACACGUUCCUUUCCUCGUACAUGAAUGUGUGUGUGUGUGUGUGUGUGUGUGUGUGUGUGUGUGUGUGUGUGUGUGUGUGUGUGUGUGUGUGUGUGUGUGUGUGUGUGUGUGUGUGUGUGUGUGUGUGUGUGUGUGUGUGUGUGUGUGU